UAGUAGGUGCGAGCAGUUGUCGGUCGAAUUAUUGGGCGUAAAGAGCUCGUAGGUGGCCUGUCGCGUCGGCUGUGAAAACUCGGGGCUCAACUCCGAGCUUGCAGUCGAUACGGGCAGGCUAGAGUUCGGCAGGGGAGACUGGAAUUCCUGGUGUAGCGGUGAAAUGCGUAGAUAUCAGGAGGAACACCUGCGGUGUAGACGGCUUUCUGGACCAUUGCUGACGCUGAGACACGAAAGCGUGGGUAGCAAACAGG
rnacentral:rRNA from 1 species